rnacentral:rRNA from 1 species
UGGCGGACGGGUGAGUAACGCGUGGGUAACCUGCCCUGUACAGGGGGACAACAAUCAGAAAUGACUGCUAAUACCGCAUAAGACCACAGCACCGCAUGGUGCAGGGGUAAAAACUCCGGUGGUACAGGAUGGACCCGCGUCUGAUUAGCUGGUUGGUGAGGUAACGGCUCACCAAGGCGACGAUCAGUAGCCGGCUUGAGAGAGUGAACGGCCACAUUGGGACUGAGACACGGCCCAAACUCCUACGGGAGGCAGCAUG